UUUUGUGCCUUUACUCGUUAACCAUCCUAAAAGCUUGGCGAGUCAUUAGACAGCUUAUAUUUUUUUUGCUUUUGUAGUCGGUCGAAAAAUAGGGAUGUGAUCAUGCAGCUGCCCAAAUGUAAUGCUUUACACCCCCCCCCCCCCCCCCCCCCCCCCCCCCCCCCCCAGGGUUGAUGUUCAAUCUCUUCAAUGAUUCAUAAUUGUUGGAUUCGUUUUUGAUCAUCGCAUUUAAAAAUCAAUUCAUGCCUAGUGAGAGAAAGCAAAAUCUUUUAUAGCAUUCAUAUUGCACCCCACGUGAGCAUAUUUUAAGAGUCGUCCAUGCGGACAGAUCAACAUUGCGGCAUCCCAACAAUAACCAAUCUAUUGAAGUUUCCAAGAAGAUUCCUCGCUAUUGUGGGAAAUUUCACAUGGUUAAUCUGCAAUGUAAUCGUCAAAAUUUUAGAAAAUUAAGAUGAGUGGAGUAGGGUGGGGGUGUAUAACGUAUGCACAAAAAGUUAAUAUUUGUUUUCAAAUUUUAUAAAUUUUAUAAUUUUAACUUCGCUAAAUCUAAGUUUUGACAAUUUUAAACAUGUUAAAUUUAAAUUCUGACAAUUUACACUCAUAAAAAUUAGUAAUUUUACUUAAAUUCAUUAAAAUUUUCAAUUUUGACCUGGAAAUCGCUCAUUUAUACUGGACGUAGGGGGAUCAGGUGUGAACUCCGGGAGGCUGUUGGGGAAGAUGGCGGUGCCGCUGGAUCUGGAGGGUACGGAGGCUAGGGCCUGUGUGUUCCACAAUGGUUGGAUAUCGGUCGGCAAGGACGCGAAGGCCUCGAGCGCAAAGUUUCAAGUCAGUGUGAAGGCAGAGCCUGAUCCGAGAUUCGUGUUCCAGUUCGACGGCUGAGCCUGAGGGGCGUCCUCAAGGUUUCAAAUAUUCAAGGCAACAUUCGGCAGCCGGUGUUCACUGCAAAAUUCAGUUUUUCAGAAGCAACGCCGACGAAUCAAGGUUCCAGGUAGUUUCUCAAUCUCCAAUUAUGAUUCGGUUCAAUUCUUUUAUUAAAUGCUAGGUUAGUAUGUUGAAUUCAAAUUCCUUUGGAAUUUUCACGGGAACCACAGGGUUCUCCAAACGGUAGAUACUUUACAAUGGCAGAAAAUUUAAACAUUUGAACUUUCAAAGACAAAAGUUCGCUGGAAUUGUACUGUAAAGUCUAAAGCUAAUUUCAUUGUCUACUCAGAUCACAUUUUGAUUGUCUAAACUGUGACAUUUUGAAUCUAAAUUCGUCAAGUCUGUAUAGUUGAUCAUAAUUUUAACACCCUGAACGUGUCGUGGAAAAAGGGAACCCAAGACGAAUUCAAAGUCUCCCUUAAGUGUAAAAUUAUAGCCAGAAUAAUGCGAUUAUGCGAGGACCUUUAGGAAAAUGUUUUUAUAAAUUAGAGCCUUAAACCAUCAUCAAGUAUACAAAAAAGAAGAAACAUGGGACCUUUAGAGAAAGUACCCUGCCUUGUUUCCAUGGUCCUGUAUGUUCUGCUCUUCUCUUCACCCAAACCUCCUGCUGCUUCUGCUUCUGCUUCUGCUUCUGCUGAAGAGGCUAAUGCUCUCCUCAAAUGGAAAGCUUCCCUUCAAAGCGCCAGCAAUUCUCUACUAACUUCGUGGACACUUCCUCCUCGUAAUGACUCCGGUUCAAGUGCAAGCGGCCCAUGCCAUUGGUAUGGAGUUUCUUGCGACAGUGAAGGAAGUGUCAUCGGAAUGAAACGUGACAACUCGUCGUAAGCGGGUACUCUCGAAAGCUUUUCAUUCUGCUAGUUCCCUAAUCUUGCAUAUAUGGAUUCUGUAUCAAUCAACUCUUGGUUCCAUCCACCUCAAAUUGGUGCCCUAUCCAAACUUGUUUACCUUAAUUUGUCUCCACCAGAAAAAUCAAUUUCGGGGGGGAACAUCCCACCAGAAAUUGGCCUGCGCUAACAAAAUAUUCGAUAACCCUCCACAUGCGUUCAAAAAACCAGUUUGAAGGCUCAAUUACUCAAGAGAUAAGCUGUUAAAGUCUCUUUCAGAGCUUGCUUUUGUACCACCCAAUCGUAUCAGUGGUCCCAUUCCUGCUUCUUUGGUUGUAAUUUGAGGCAACUUCUUGACUCUCUAUAUCUCUACGAAAAAUCAACUUUCUGGCUCCUUCCACCAGAGAAAUGGAAAUUUGCUAAUCUCAUGUGGCUUUACAUGGAUCAUAAACAAUUUUUAACAGGUCCUAUUCCUUCAACUUUCGUGAACUUGAAUAGGCUAAAAUAUGUUGAAGCUGUCGUGUGAACCAACUUUCUGGUUUCCAUCCUCAAGAAUAGGAAACUUGAAGUCCCUCAUCAGUUUAGAACUGACCCAGAUCCACUUUAUAUAAUAGAUAUAUUGUAAAUGGUACCAUUCUGCCUCAUUAGGUAACAUGUCCAAAUUAGAAACACUCCUCUUCUUGCGUAUCAAACCAAACUUUCUGGUCCCAUUCCAACAGAAGUCGGCCAAUUUGAAAAACUGCUCUUGUAUUGGUAAGGUCACAAAUCAGUAUCGGGCCAUCUACCGGAGAUUUUGCCAAGGUGGGAGGAAAACUUCAAAAAAUCACUGUGACAACAAUUCAGCUCGCCGGGGGCCAAUCCCCAAAAGUCUGAGAGACUGUAAAGCUUAGUCAGAGUCCGCCUGCCUUGAAGGAAACCAAUUCACUGGGGAAAGCAUAUUUGAAGCCUUGAUGUCAUCCAAAUCUAAAAAAUUGGAUCGAAGUCGCAAUAACUUCAUGGUGAAACUCAAAAAACGGAGUAGCUGCCCCCGACUGCAAAACUUUGAUGAGGCAGGCGAACAACAUACCGGUCGCAUACCACCAGAGUUGGGAGAAGAUUCGCCUCAACUUCAAAGGGCUUAACCGUUUCCAAUCAUUUGAUUGGGGAGGUCCCACAUGAAUUGGGGAAGUGAAUUCUCUGCUCGACUCUAUCUGGAGAAACCAACACUCCGGCAGUAUAACUAAAGAACUUGGAUCCCUGACUAAACUGCAGAAGCUGACCUUCCAUAAACAGAUAAAUGGGCCAUAGCAGCUGGAAAUUGGAGAAUUGCAUGCAACUGAUUAACUGAAUUUGAGCAGCAUAAUUUUAGCCAAAGCAUCCCAGAGCAACUGAGUACUUACCUAAAACUGUCAACCAUGGAUCUAAGUCAGAAUUUCACUUUCAGGGAGGGAUUACCGCACAGUUCAAAGUUCAAGAGGUUUGGAUGGGUUGAGCCUCUCCCACAAUAAUCUUUAUGGUGCAUUCCAAGGAAUUUGAAGACAUGCAUUGGUUGCAUCACAUGAUAUAUCCUACAAUGAGUUGGAGGGUCCCAUUCCCACCAGCAAAGCCCGUUAGUGAAUGCUUCCAUAGAGGCAUGCAAGGGAACAAACAUUGUGUGGAAAUGUCACAGGAUUGCAGCUUGCAAAAAUUUCAUUUUGAGUGAACAAAAACACUGCACGAGAACAGACUCUUAUUCUAAUAAUCGUGCUCCCCUUGGCGGAGCACUUUACUUCUAGGUGCACUCGCCGCGGACUUUGUGUCGCAUGGGAUAGAAGAAAGAAAAUUCCAGAAAAAAGGGUCCUACGGGAGGAUCUUCUCCCAUAUCAAUAUACAAUGAUAGAAGCAAUGUAAAUGACAUUCCUCAAGCUACAAAAUAACUUUGAUCCGAUAUGUGCAUAGGAAAGGGAGGAUAUGGAACUGUCUACAAGCAAAACUGCUAACAUAUAGCUGUGAAGAAACAUUCAUCCUUCAAACCGCGAGGGUGAUCGUAAAGGUUUCUUGAACGAGGUCAGAAGCAUUCAAAAAUUAGGAAUCGAAAUUAUAGUAAGCUUUUCGGGUUUUGUAUCGCGUGCCCAACAACUAUAGUUGGUUUACGAGUACUCGAAAGGGGUAGCUUGGCUACCAAUUUUGAGCAGAGAUGAAAGAAGCUCAAAAUUAGAUUGGCCAAAGAGAGUUACUAUUGUCACGGGUGUGCGCAUGCUUUAUCAGAUAUGCACCAUGAUUGUACACCCUCAAUUGUUCACCGGGACCAUAACAAGCAGAAAUGUUUUGAUGACAAGAGUAUGAGGCUCGUGUAUCAGAACUUUGGCAGCAAGUGAAGCUUCCUGAAGCGGAUUCUCUAAUGGGUGCACCUUGUAGGCACAUACGGAUAGUUUGCGCAGGAACCGUAGUUUUAUGUGCUCCUAAAUGAAAUAGAAUUUAUUAAUUCACAAAUAGAUGAACAAUUUCUCUGUCUCUGUCUCUUUCCUUUUUCAGAGUUCGAUUAUAAAAUGAAGGUGACUGAAAAGGUGAGUAUAUAGAUUGGAGUGUUCGAACUGGAAGGGGAUCAAAGGAAAGCAGCCAGGACGAAUUUUGUUCCUUCACGUCAACCCCAGCCGUGGAAAUAUGCAACUGAAAGAUGACUGACCAACGCCUUUUACAUCCCCUAUCCUCGAGAGGAGGAAGGUAAUAAUGUGGAUCAUAAAGAUGGCGAUUGCAUGCUUGCCAUGCCCAAUCCACAAUCUAGGCCAACAUGCAGGUUCGUUUCUCAACUGGUAUCGCCAGAGAACAGAUGAUUUACCGAAAAUGUAAAGCUAUUUUGUGAAAUACAUGAUGUAUUAGGAUAUCAAAUAGAUUAAAUAAUCUGGCAUAUUUAGUGUUAUGUAUUUUAUUGUCCACUUUAGGGUACUAACAUACAGGAUUCAUAUAAGGUGACAAGGUUGUUGGCUUGUACUUCUAAUACUGGUCUUCAGAAAAAGAUUUAUUAGCAUUAUGCAAGUUUCACAAUAUAUAGGAAAAAUUACACAGGGUCUUUGUAAAAUAAUCAGUUAUUGAUCUAGUAGUCUCGAUUGCACCCUCUUUUGAUUCUUAGUACCCAAACCUGCUCAGAAAACAAUGUAAAAUAAAACAAGGCUUUGCUUUUCUCUCAAAACAUCCCCACUGAUCCCCAAAACCGCCCCAAUUCACUCAAUCAAAGACAUAGCGAUUGAGGGUUCACUUACUAGGUUGAUACCUAGGUUUGCUCUUAUCGUUGCAAGAUAGAACUUCUCUGUCCCCUUUCCCCUCGGAAUGAUUGGCUAUAAAAAAAAAGAGAAAAACCUCAAACCCCCGGCCUAGCCUAAUCCCAACCCACCAACGCGGGGCCACUGACCCCGCCACCACCCUUAGUCCCUCUCUAUCGUUGACACUACUCUACCAUCCUCCCUAACAACCCCACCCUUUUCCAACCAUGUGGUCCGCUCUUCAUAUCUGGCCCACUGUCAACCCUCCCUACCCAUCUCUGCACCUCGCCCAUUCCGGCCCUUACAGUGGACUCGGUCCACCAUAAAACUUUCCUCACUAUCUAAGAAGAAGAACGGGAUUACCCAACCCACCAGGAAAACAAUGGAAACAGGAUAUUGUUUUUCUAAAAAUUGGGACAUGGACACGUAGGGGAUACAUUAAAUAAAUUUAUGAAAUAUUUAUAAUCAAUAAAUAAGUAACAUAUGUUCAUAGAAAAAAAUGGCAUAAUAGAUCAGAUUUGGUCCAAGUACAACUCGCCUUAUAAAGUUCAUUAGAAUAAUAAAUGUAAUGAGUUUUUUACAACAAAAAAUGGGCAUUGUAGAUCAAUAUUUGACACUUUAAACAACCAAAUGUGAAAUCAAACGAAUUGCAAACUAAUUAUUUUUCUGUCCCAAAGUAAAAACUCUUUUUGGCACACUUGGCUUCCCAAGUUUCCUUGAGGAAAAUGCCUGUACUAAAAACGUUCACAUUCUUUUUUUUUUUUAAUUAUAUAGUGCCUGAGAUAUCUUUUCUCUAGCAACGUUAGAAACAAGUUGAGGAUCCCCAACCACAAAUCCAUGCUUAUCAUCAAGACCUCACGGUGGGGGUGGCAAAAAAUUGGUAUAUGUAAUGGCAAUUACGAAAGAACAAAUAAAUAUGGUAUCCCUCUCCCCAACUGCCAUUUCCUCUUUCUUUAUCUAUCCAUCACCCUCUAUCUUCUCUCUUUAUAUAUACAUUUGGAAGUGAUUAUGUAUUAAGGAUAGAUACACCACACACACCACACACAACACCACACACACCACACACAAACACAAUAUAUAUAUAUAUAUGUAUAUAUAUAUAUCCUCUUACAAAACUGAAAACUGCAAGGCGCUGCUAGGCUAAUUGGACAAUUUCUAUUUUUUAAGGAAUUUAACGGAUCCCUUACUGAAGAUCAAAAGCUAGAACUAGAUAACAUCUGGUUGCAGUAGUAAUAACUCAUAGUGCGAUGCGCAUUUGCUUCGUGAAUUAGAAUCUGUUCUUUUUACUUGAAUGAAACUAGAUUCGGGAACUGAACCGUUAAUAGAACUUGAUUCUGUGCAAAGUUUUGUUUUCGGUGAAGAUAAAAAAACGAGUCAUGAUCCUUGUUUCCAUGUGGGCAGUGAGAGCGGUGUUAUGAUAGAAACUUCUAAUUGGCUGCCAAAUACAGCCCUUUUAUCAAAAGCCAGAUGCAAACAAGAGGAUUUUCGCUAUUAAAAUCUCAGAUCAAAAUACUAUCUAUGGAUGGAUACAAAUCAAACACAAUACAAAACGAGAAUUGGCCGCCAGUAUUUGACAAAAUAGGAUGCUUCAAGUUUUGUAGAAUUCCAAGUCCUUUGGCCUACUGGACCCGAAACAGAUGCACUACACCUCAUCUCCCCACUGUCGAUUUCACAUUCUGAAUCUUUGGUCCCUUGUUCUAUUGUUCACUUGAUUUUUGUGUACCAGUAUUUUUGUCAAUUGUGUACGAGAGAAUGUAAGCUCACUCACAUAUUUUAAGCCCAACUCUUUGUCCAUAAUUACAAAAAAAAAGGAUUAGGUGUGUGAUUCAUGCCAGUGACCAAAUCGAAUGCUAACACAAGUGUUGAUGUCCAAAUGUAAUGCUACAUAACUAUUCUAUUGAACAUUCUGCAUAAUGGUAGGUGUCACAGGGGCAAUUUUUCACUACUAAAAACUCAUGUGCGAUGGCACUAAGUGUUGCGCUUAGUCUCAACCAAACUUUGCACACAUAUAAUGAGAAGUAAGAAUUCGAAGGAAGGCACACAAAUGAUUUACAUGAAAUCAAUCCCAACCUUUUGUUACACCAGAAAUAAUAUAAUACACUUAGGAUUUUGUACAGAACACACUUUGCACAAUCCUGGCACACUAAGUCUACUUAUAGAAACAUUACAUGCAACUAGAACCCCCCCUAACUGCUACGAUAUUUGGACCAAUAACUGUUAAUAACUACUUCAGACAACCUAUUGUAUAGAGACAACUUUGAAUAGAAUCAUACAAGUGUAAUUGCCAACACCCACAACUGCUUGUAACUGCCUUGUACACACACACCCAGCAACAUGCUGAUGCCAGUCCAUGCCCAGUGCAUAGGGCUUGUUGCCUGCAUUGUGCGGAAUGUCGUGCUCCCAUCUUUGUUCAAAGCCCACACAAUCACGCAUUUGGGCACAAUUCCGCUUGUGCCUUGCAUCUUCUCAGCAACAUCACUAUCUUGAACAUUUGCUACCUUGUCAAGGCAUACCUCCCUUAUGGCUUUGCCAUCAAGGGUAGCGCAGGUGCAAGGUGCUACCACGCACGAACCCCGUGCCUGUGUCGAAGGACUAGUAUGCUAACAGUAGGGAAUGUGGAACAUGAUCCCUUGUUGGUAGGGAAAAUUGGACCUAGUCAAUAAGGACUAUCUCAUAUGACAAUGUCUUACCAGCUAGGCAAUUUAAACAUCACUAACUACAAAAAUUUGAAAAAUUUACAUGGGUGGAUGUGUUUUUUUUUUUUUUUUUUUUUUUUUUUUUUUUUUUUUUUUUUUUUUUUUUUUUUUUUCCGGCGAGGCAGUGAUCGUAUCCUAACACCACCAAGAAGAUGGACCAGCGGCUGAUACUGAGUUAGAAAGGCAAGGGAAGCCUGUUAGGCCGAGUUCAGUAGAAUUAUGUUUCAAGUGCCUCCACUGGCUUGUUAACGUCUCUGACUGCUUGGUGUGUGUGUGCUAGGUUUACAUUGGAUUGUUUUCGUGGGGGGUGGGUUUUAUUAGUCCACACGGUCGCUUUCAGGUAACUAGAUUCUGUCAAGAACUUCACAAAGCAAGAGCAUGAUAGAAGGGACAUAGUCAAGUCUUUGUGCUUGUUGAUUCAUAGCUUUUCCUCCCUAAGUGAAAGGACCCAACAUGACUUCAAGUCUCUCUAAAAUGUUAAUAAAAAACUCCUAGCCACACAACAAUACAAAGGCCUUGUGUAGCAUAAUGUGUCUGUAAAGUAGAACCUUAAACCAUCGUCAAGUAUACAAAAAGAAAAAAAUAUAGGAACUUUAGAGAAACUACUCUGCCUUGUUUCCAUAUUUCUGUUUGCACUACUCUUUUAUUCACCCAAAUUUGCUUCUGCUUCUGGUGAAGAGGCUAAUGCUCUCCUCAAGUGGAAAGCUUCCCUUCAAAGUGCCAAAAAUUCUCUGUUAACUUUGUGGGCACUUUCUUUUCAUAAUGACUCCAGUUCAAGUGCAAGCAUCCCAUGCAUUGGUUCGGAGUUUCCUACAAUACUGAAGGAAGCAUCAUAAGAUUGAACCUCAUAGUGAAGCUUCGGGUUUUGGUUUUGUUCACAUGCCCAAACAUCUUUUUGGUCUAUGAGUACCUCAAAAAAGGGUAGCUUGGCAUACAAUUUUGAGCAGAGAUGAAAGAAGCUAAACCAUUGGAUGGCCUAGAGGGUGAAAAAUUAUUAAGGGUGUUGUGCAGCUUUGUAAUACAUGACACCCAUAUUGCACAACCCCGCCAAAUUGUUUACCGCACCUAUCGAGCAGCAGUAUUUUGAUUGACGAGACGUACGAGGCUCAUGUUUCAGACUUUAGCACGAUAAAGCUUCUGAACCUGGAUUCCUCUAAUUGUAGUGCAUUUGAAGGCACAUAUAGAAUAUGUUGCACCAGGUAACCUCAAUUAAUAUAGAAUCUAAUAAAGAACAAAUAGAUGAACAUCUCUAUAUCUCUCUAUCUGUUUUUGCAGACCUUACUUGGACAAUGAAGGUGACUGAAAAGUGUGAUCUGUAAAGCUUUGGAGUAUUAGCCCUAGAAGUGAUUAAAGGAAUGCAUCCAGGAGAUUUUGUUUCCGCAUUCCCAACACCCGCUGUGGAAAUUGUACAUUACAUCUAGACCAAUGCUUUUUACCUCCCUCUCCUGAAGAUCAUUAUAAAUAUGGCAAUUGCAUGCUUGCAUGCCAAUCCACAAUCUAGGCCACCAAUGAAGAUUGUUUCAUAGUUGUUAUCUACCAGAACAAUUUCUUAGAGCCUCAGAGAUUCCUAUACCAGUAGUGCAAAGCUAUUUUGUCUAGGAAUUACCAUUAGAUAUCAAUGAAACCAAAUGCUCUCAGCAUAUUGUGGUGUAACAUACGUUUCUUUUUCUUUUUUGGGUAUCAAUUUAUAUAGGACUAUGUAUUAUGAGUGAAGAUUGUUUGCAUGUGCCUUUCAUACUGAAUGAAAGAUGACUAUCGCAAUAAAUGCAAUUGUUGAUACAAAUUAGGAUUUAGGACAACUUACACCAGUGGUCUCUGUAAUUUUCUUUUGAGCAUUUAUAAGAACCAUUGGUCUUUCAGUUUUCCAAUUGUCUCACCGACAAUCCUUAUUAAGAUUGGAUAGUAUAAUGACCAACAUUAUUGCUCAUUGACAACUCUUAAGAGAGGGGCAUUUUUCAUUUUAGACAUUACACCCCUCUUUCUUCCUUGAAAUGGAUGCACUGCUAGAUACAUUUUGUUUGCAACAAGAAUCUUAUUGCGACAAGAAUUUUCUUCUUGUAAUCAAGGAAGUCAUCCAAUAUUGUUGACCUUAGAAAGCAUUUCUUACAAGAAGUUGCGAUGGUGGGCUUUAGUUUCUACCCAAAAAACCAAGCAGCCCUUCUCAGCAAUAGUCGUGUCGCUGGUGUAUGACAAAAUAAGAUCCUCUAAUUUUUGUAGAUUUCCAUGUCCAUAGGUAUAGGGAUGUCAUUCAUGCCAGUGCCCAAAUGUAAUGCUGACACAAGUGUUCGUGUCCUAUAUCUUCAGUGAUUCAUAAUUGUUGGAUCAGCCUUCUGACAUCUCA
rnacentral:lncRNA from 1 species